rnacentral:miRNA from 1 species
UUUUGGAACGGAGGGAGUAUU